rnacentral:rRNA from 1 species
UACGUAGGUGGCAAGCGUUGUCCGGAAUUAUUGGGCGUAAAGCGCGCGCAGGCGGUUCUUUAAGUCUGAUGUGAAAGCCCACGGCUCAACCGUGGAGGGUCAUUGGAAACUGGAGAACUUGAGUACAGAAGAGGAAAGCGGAAUUCCACGUGUAGCGGUGAAAUGCGUAGAGAUGUGGAGGAACACCAGUGGCGAAGGCGGCUUCUGGUCUGUAACUGACGCUGAGGCGCGAAAGCGUGGGGAGCAAACAGG